rnacentral:rRNA from 1 species
AUUGAACGCUGGCGGCAGGCUUAACACAUGCAAGUCGAACGGUUGUAGCAAUACAGCAGUGGCAGACGGAUGAGUAACACGUGGGAACCUUCCUAGGGGUACGGAACAACUCAGGGAAACUUGAGCUAAUACCGUAUACGUCCGUGAGGAGAAAGAUUUAUCGCCCUUAGACGGGCCCGCGUCGGAUUAGCUAGUUGGUGGGGUAACGGCCUACCAAGGCGACGAUCCGUAGCUGAUCUUAGAGGAUGAUCAGCCACACUGGGACUGAGACACGGCCCAGACUCCUACGGGAGGCAGCAGUGGGGAAUAUUGGACAAUGGGGGCAACCCUGAUCCAGCCAUGCCGCGUGAGUGAUGAAGGCCUUAGGGUUGUAAAGCUCUUUCACCGGGGAAGAUAAUGACGGUACCCGGAGAAGAAGCCCCGGCUAACUUCGUGCCAGCAGCCGCGGUAACAC